GUUGUUGGGUAGGGGAGCGUUCUGUAAGCCUGUGAAGGUGUACUGUGAGGUAUGCUGGAGGUAUCAGAAGUGCGAAUGCUGACAUAAGUAACGAUAAAGCGGGUGAAAAGCCCGCUCGCCGGAAGACCAAGGGUUCCUGUCCAACGUUAAUCGGGGCAGGGUGAGUCGACCCCUAAGGCGAGGCCGAAAGGCGUAGUCGAUGGGAAACAGGUUAAUAUUCCUGUACUUGGUGUUACUGCGAAGGGGGGACGGAGAAGGCUAUGUUGGCCGGGCGACGGUUGUCCCGGUUUAAGCGUGUAGGCUGGUUUUCCAGGCAAAUCCGGAAAAUCAAGGCUGAGGCGUGAUGACGAGGCACUACGGUGCUGAAGCAACAAAUGCCCUGCUUCCAGGAAAAGCCUCUAAGCAUCAGGUAACAUCAAAUCGUACCCCAAACCGACACAGGUGGUCAGGUAGAGAAUACCAAGGCGCUUGAGAGAACUCGGGUGAAGGAACUAGGCAAAAUGGUGCCGUAACUUCGGGAGAAGGCACGCUGAUAUGUAGGUGAAGUCCCUCGCGGAUGGAGCUGAAAUCAGUCGAAGAUACCAGCUGGCUGCAACUGUUUAUUAAAAACACAGCACUGUGCAAACACGAAAGUGGACGUAUACGGUGUGACGCCUGCCCGGUGCCGGAAGGUUAAUUGAUGGGGUUAGCCGCAAGGCGAAGCUCUUGAUCGAAGCCCCGGUAAACGGCGGCCGUAACUAUAACGGUCCUAAGGUAGCGAAAUUCCUUGUCGGGUAAGUUCCGACCUGCACGAAUGGCGUAAUGAUGGCCAGGCUGUCUCCACCCGAGACUCAGUGAAAUUGAACUCGCUGUGAAGAUGCAGUGUACCCGCGGCAAGACGGAAAGACCCCGUGAACCUUUACUAUAGCUUGACACUGAACAUUGAGCCUUGAUGUGUAGGAUAGGUGGGAGGCUUUGAAGUGUGGACGCCAGUCUGCAUGGAGCCGACCUUGAAAUACCACCCUUUAAUGUUUGAUGUUCUAACGUUGACCCGUAAUCCGGGUUGCGGACAGUGUCUGGUGGGUAGUUUGACUGGGGCGGUCUCCUCCUAAAGAGUAACGGAGGAGCACGAAGGUUGGCUAAUCCUGGUCGGACAUCAGGAGGUUAGUGCAAUGGCAUAAGCCAGCUUGACUGCGAGCGUGACGGCGCGAGCAGGUGCGAAAGCAGGUCAUAGUGAUCCGGUGGUUCUGAAUGGAAGGGCCAUCGCUCAACGGAUAAAAGGUACUCCGGGGAUAACAGGCUGAUACCGCCCAAGAGUUCAUAUCGACGGCGGUGUUUGGCACCUCGAUGUCGGCUCAUCACAUCCUGGGGCUGAAGUAGGUCCCAAGGGUAUGGCUGUUCGCCAUUUAAAGUGGUACGCGAGCUGGGUUUAGAACGUCGUGAGACAGUUCGGUCCCUAUCUGCCGUGGGCGCUGGAGAACUGAGGGGGGCUGCUCCUAGUACGAGAGGACCGGAGUGGACGCAUCACUGGUGUUCGGGUUGUCAUGCCAAUGGCACUGCCCGGUAGCUAAAUGCGGAAGAGAUAAGUGCUGAAAGCAUCUAAGCACGAAACUUGCCCCGAGAUGAGUUCUCCCUGACUCCUUGAGAGUCCUGAAGGAACGUUGAAGACGACGACGUUGAUAGGCCGGGUGUGUAAGCGCAGCGAUGCGUUGAGCUAACCGGUACUAAUGAACCGUGAGGCUUAACCUU
rnacentral:rRNA from 1 species